rnacentral:rRNA from 1 species
GUAGUUGCGGGCAUAACCUGCCGGUGGUCUACUAAACUCUGUUUACUAUGUUAUUCUGAAUAAUAUAACUAAAUAAGUUAAAACUUUCAACAACGGAUCUCUUGGUUCUGGCAUCGAUGAAGAACGCAGCGAAAUGCGAUAAGUAAUGUGAAUUGCAGAAUUCAGUGAAUCAUCGAAUCUUUGAACGCACAUUGCGCCCAUUAGUAUUCUAGUGGGCAUGCCUGUUCGAGCGUCAUUUCAACMCUUAAGCCCUGUUGCUUAGCGUUGGGAGUCUACAGAUACCCUCUGUAGUUCCUUAAAGUUAGUGGCGGAGUCGGUUUCACACUCUAGACGUAGUAWWUUUUAUUYUCGCCUAUAGAUGAGCCGGUCCCUUGCCGUAAAAACMCCUAAUUUCUAAAGG